rnacentral:rRNA from 1 species
AACUAACGCUGGCGGCGUGCCUAACACAUGCAAGUCGUACGAGAAAGUCGGCUUCGGCUGAUGAGUAAAGUGGCGCACGGGUGAGUAACGCGUGGAUAAUCUGCCUUUUAGUUGGGAAUAACGUACCGAAAGGUGCGCUAAUACCGGAUAAUACUGCAUAACUACUGUUGUGUAGUCAAAGAAGGCCCCUGUUUACAAGCUUUUGCUGAAAGAUGAGUCCGCGUACCAUUAGCUAGUUGGUAGGGUAAUGGCCUACCAAGGCUACGAUGGUUAGCUGGUCUGAGAGGAUGAUCAGCCACACUGGAACUGAGACACGGUCCAGACUCCUACGGGAGGCAGCAGUGAGGAAUAUUGCGCAAUGGGGGCAACCCUGACGCAGCAACGCCGCGUGAGUGAGGAAGGUUUUCGGACCGUAAAGCUCUGUCGAGCGGGAAGAAAUGUAUCGUGGCUAAUAUCCAUGAUAUUUGACGGUACCGCUAAAGGAAGCACCGGCUAACUCCG